CCCUUUAGAGAUAGAGGGUGCUCGAAAGAGAGCCGUAACACAGGUGCUGCAUGGCUGUCGUCAGCUCGUGUCGUGAGAUGUUGGGUUAAGUCCCGCAACGAGCGCAACCCUUGUCAUUAGUUGCUACAUUCAGUUGGGCACUCUAAUGAGACUGCCGGUGACAAGCCGGAGGAAGGUGGGGAUGACGUCAAGUCCUCAUGGCCCUUAUAGGUGGGGCUACACACGUCAUACAAUGGCUGGUACAAAGGGUUGCCAACCCGCGAGGGGGAGCCAAUCCCAUAAAGCCAGUCGUAGUCCGGAUCGUAGUCUGCAACUCGACUACGUGAAGUCGGAAUCGCUAGUAAUCGUGGAUCAGAAUGUCACGGUGAAUACGUUCCCGGGUCUU
rnacentral:rRNA from 1 species